UAGUGUUUAAAAUCGCGCGGAGAUUGUAGAAUGCUAUUUUAAGAAGUCUAUUAAAGAGAGAAAAUCCAGUAAAUACCAGAUCCAAAAAGCGCGGAACACAAAUAUCGUCCGCGAAAAUUAAGCAUUGAAUUACUGUACAAAUCUCGGGUUGUUAGGUGUUAGAAUCCCUAGUUACCCGAAAAAUUUGAUUGGAUCCGAUACUUAGAAAUAACCAAUCAGAUACUUUGUAACAAAUGCAACACAAUCAGUGCGUUUAGUAAGUAUAACGUUUCAAGAUGGCGGAGCGAAUUGCAUGGUUAUUGUUUCUACUCGAUGGAUUCGCAGAUAAUUCGGAAAUAGAUCAGAUUGGGAUCAAUAACUGUAUUGCAUACGAUCAUUUACAUGUAUUACCAGGUGUGUGUUGCCAGUAAUGGUUGAAGAUAUGCCAAACAAAUUGUGCCUCUCUAUACAGACAGAUUUCAGGUCUCAAUUUCGACUUCAAAGGUCAACAUAUCACUGAUAUCAGGAAUUCUGUACAACUGUGGAACCAUGUAUGGUACGUGACCGCACAAUGUUGGUUGGCAAAAGGAUAUUGGAAUAAGCAAAGGGACUCAACAUUACACAGUCAUUUCAACAUGUAGAGUCUUGUCAGCAAUGAUGGAGCAGUACUUCAGAUUUCCAGAAUCUCGUCAUGAGCUGAAGAUCAUUGCCUAUGAAUUUCAUGAAUGAUGUAGAAUGAUUGGACUGUUGAUGGAACCCACAGUGCAUGUCCUGCUUCAACAUCUGAGCAUAGGUCCUUGUUUAUCAGCAGUUUAGUUCUUCAAGCAGUCUGUGACAGUUACUUGAAAUGUUUGGACAUAUGACCUGGAUGGCCAAGUUCUGUGCAUGAUGCCCAUUUAAAUAGGAACGGCCCAGUGGCGCAUUAAAUGGACAUUUUUCGAAUGUUCUCGAGGAUUCAGCUUAGCGCCUGACAAGAAAUCUUGCUUUUUGUUCAGUAUCGAGGCCAUGGACAUUUGUAUCAUUUGCAAAAGAUACUGCGAUAUUUGUGCCUUUGUUCAUGCUUUAUAGUUGAUUAACAAUUGGAAGCCAUAACCUGUUUUUAAGAUGGUGUUAGUGGGACAAUGAAUUUUGUAAAGAUUUAAAGACUGGAAAAGAUAAUUAAAAGUCAAAAGAGUUCUGCUAUUGUUAAGCAUGCUUUAUUGAUUUGUAAUGUUAGAAAGAUGGCAUUAUUAACAGAAUAAAAUGUCCAUAAUUUGAA